GCUCGGUAGUUAGCAUCCAGCGGCCGCCCGCGAUGGGACCCCGGUGGGGAGAUCUACCGGCAUUGGCUAGCGAGAGUUCGAGUCCCGCCCACAUAUGGUGACGACAGGCGGCGGUCUUGCUACUUAAGGCGUCGUGGCCUCACCCGCCCCGCCUUAGCUCCCGCGCUAGAGAGAAACAUGUAUCGUUUCCGAUCACAGCUCUUCACGGGGAUUUCUGCUGUCGCCACCGUCCACUCUUACCCACGCCGCUUCUCGCCUCUGUUGUUAGCCGAAGACUCGCCUCUUAGCCGCCCGCCGCACAGACGUACGAGUAAAAAGUGCAGCUCCAUCGGCUGAUCCUCGCUAAGCUCCGAGUUUAGACGGCACCGGGCGUCCCACGAUGCCGAAGAAUAAAAAGCGGAACACUCCCCACCGCGGUGGCAGUGGUGGCGGCGGCUCAGGGGCAGCAGCAGCGACGGCGGCGACAGCAGGUGGCCAGCAUCGAAAUGUUCAACCUUUUAGUGAUGAGGAUGCAUCGAUUGAAACAAUGAGCCAUUGCAGUGGUUACAGCGAUCCUUCCAGUUUUGCUGAAGAUGGACCAGAAGUCCUUGAUGAGGAAGGAACUCAAGAAGACUUAGAGUAUAAGUUGAAGGGACUCAUUGACCUGACCCUGGAUAAGAGUGCGAAGACAAGGCAAGCAGCUCUUGAAGGUAUUAAAAAUGCACUGGCUUCAAAAAUGCUUUAUGAAUUUAUUCUGGAAAGAAGAAUGACUUUAACUGAUAGCAUUGAACGCUGCCUGAAAAAAGGUAAAAGUGAUGAGCAGCGUGCGGCUGCAGCGUUAGCGUCUGUUCUGUGUAUUCAGUUGGGCCCUGGAAUUGAAAGUGAAGAGGUUUUAAAAACUCUCGGACCAAUCCUGAAGAAAAUAAUUUGUGAUGGAACAGCUAGUAUCCAGGCUAGGCAAACUUGUGCAACUUGCUUUGGUGUUUGCUGUUUUAUUGCCACAGAUGAUAUUACUGAGCUGUAUUCAACUCUGCAGUGUUUGGAAAACAUCUUCACCAAGUCGUAUCUCAAAGAGAAAGACGCUAAUGUAAUUUGCAGCACCCCUAACACAGUGCUUCAUAUCAGCUCUCUCCUCGCUUGGACAUUAUUACUGACCAUAUGCCCAAUCAAUGAAGUGAAGAAAAAGCUUGAGAUGCAUUUCCAUAAACUUCCAAGCCUCCUCUCUUCUGAUGAUGUAAACAUGAGAAUAGCUGCUGGUGAAUCUUUGGCGCUUCUGUUUGAACUGGCCAGAGGAAUAGAGAGUGACUUUUUUUAUGAAGACAUGGAGUCUUUGACUCAGAUGCUUAGGGCUUUGGCUACAGAUGGAAAUAAGCACCGGGCCAAAGUGGACAAGAGGAAGCAGCGGUCGGUGUUCAGAGACAUCCUGAGGGCGGUGGAGGAACGGGAUUUUCCAACAGAAACUGUUAAAUUUGGUCCUGAACGCAUGUAUAUUGAUUGCUGGGUCAAAAAACAUACUUAUGACACCUUUAAGGAGGUUCUUGGAUCAGGGAUGCAGUACCACUUGCAGUCAAAUGAAUUCCUUCGCAAUGUUUUCGAACUUGGACCCCCGGUGAUGGUUGAUGCUGCAACGCUUAAAACGAUGAAGAUUUCUCGUUUUGAAAGGCUGCUGGCAGUCACUAAUGUGCAUUCUGUGUGGAUUUUUCCUCCUCUGGAUAGUUCACAUACAUAGAAUCAUGUAACGUGACCUUUUGUGACUGACUUUUUCCACUUAGCAUAAUGUUGCCAAGCAUUUAUAUAAUUCUGCAGCCUUCAAAGCUCGAACAAAAGCUCGAAGCAAAUGUCGAGAUAAGAGAGCAGAUGUUGGAGAAUUCUUCUAGAUUUUUAGCAUUUGAAGACCACUUUCUGUUCCCUUUUUUUUUUGUAAUUUCUAAUGUAUUUAAACUCUAGAGUUAGUUUUUAUCAUGGGUCAACAGAUAGCUUUUGUAGAGGGGGUUAUAUUAUAAUUUAAUGUAUUGCAAAUGGCAAGUUCUGAUUAUUGAAUAUCCUCUGUAAAUAUAAUCAGUAAACAUGAAUAAAAUGUUUGUAAUGUUUGGUUAUUUUCUAUUUAUGAAGAGAGCAAAAAUACAGUAUUUCACUUGAUUUCAUGAUGAGAAAAACUAUUAGCCAAGAUUGAAUUUCUUAUGCUGUGGUUGUCGGAAAUAUUGAUUAUGAUGAUACAGAUAUACGAGGUGUUUCACUUAAGAUCUUUGACAGAUGAGUUUCGGAUACAAUUUUGAGAGCUAGUUCUCCUGAAUAGCUGCUAUUAUUUUCAAUUUUAAAUGGAACCUAAUCAUUUUGUCACUGGGAUCAACAAAGGGAAUUAUACCGUGAGACCUUACAGCUGCACUUAAAGGCCAUUCAGAGCAUCUGUUGUUCGUGAUAAAUUGGUAUACGCCAGAAGGUUGCUAACCUUGACCUCUGAGGGCAGUAACACUAAUUUCAUCUGCUGUGGAAGACCUUGUGCUCUUUAUUUUGAAAUAAAGAUCUUUUCACAUGAAAA